rnacentral:rRNA from 1 species
UGGGGAAUAUUGGACAAUGGGCGCAAGCCUGAUCCAGCCAUGCCGCGUGAGUGAUGAAGGCCCUAGGGUUGUAAAGCUCUUUCACCGGUGAAGAUAAUGACGGUAACCGGAGAAGAAGCCCCGGCUAACUUCGUGCCAGCAGCCGCGGUAAUACGAAGGGGGCUAGCGUUGUUCGGAUUUACUGGGCGUAAAGCGCACGUAGGCGGACUUUUAAGUCAGGGGUGAAAUCCCGGGGCUCAACCCCGGAACUGCCUUUGAUACUGGAAGUCUUGAGUAUGGUAGAGGUGAGUGGAAUUCCGAGUGUAGAGGUGAAAUUCGUAGAUAUUCGGAGGGACACCAGUGGCGAAGGCGGCUCACUGGACCAUUACUGACGCUGAGGUGCGAAAGCGGGGGGAGCAAACAGG